AAAAUAAAAUAAAAUAAGACGUAGCCGCUGGCGGGCUACUCCCAUCCUUGCGGGAGAGGCAAAUUCUCUUUCCCGUGCAUCUCCCUAAAGGCGGAGGAGUUUGGCUCUCUUAUCUAGAUUUAGCGAUCUUUUUGCAAUGCUGCAGGCUCCAGACACCUCUGAAAUGUCGCCACGCGCGUUGUAAAUACUGCCUGCUCCUUUUGUGCCCUCGUGGGGGCGAGGUUCUGCGUGAGAAGGGGGGCGCACACAAUACGAUGCUCGUGUGAGUCUGAAAGAAGGAAGCGCGGGAGGGGUGAAACUGCCCUGAUUUUUAGCUUUCGCUUUCCAGCAAUUCGAGGGGAGGAGUCAGCAGAGGCAGGAUUUGAGUAGUGUUGUUUUUGCCUGACAAAUGGCAAUAAUGUAUGAUCUGGCUGUGGUGAAGAUACCCAGGUCUAGUGAGCACAGCAACUCGUCUCGGUAGACACAUUGUGUGCAUCUUGAUAGGAAUGCUAUUUCACAGAACAAGGGUGGCCACAUAAAAUCUCUGCUCUGAGUUAUUGUGGAGUGGGUUUCUGAGAUAUCUGGAACUUGCAGGAGAAACGCUCUCACAAACCACAGCGAUCUACUGGGUAUUUAAGGGGUAAGGUGGUCUUUCAAAUAACUUGGUCCUGAGCUGUUUGGGGCCUUAUAUGUUUGUACCAGCACACUGAAGUGGUCCCAGUAGCAGGUGUUCCUUGCUGGCAGGUCCUAGUUAGUCUGUCUAUAGCAGGCUUCCUCAACCUCGGCCCUCCAGAUGUUUUGAGACUACAAUUCCCAUCAUCCCUGACCACUGGUCCUACUAGCUAGGGAUCAUGGGAGUUGUAGGUCAAAAACAUCUGGCAGACCGAGGUUGAGGAAGCCUGAUCUAUAGUUUGGACUACCAAGUUAUAGAGCAGGGAUCAGCAAACUUUUUCAGCAGGGGGCCGGUCCACUGUCCCUCAGACGUUGUGGGGGGCUGGACUAUAUUUUUUUAGGGGGUGGGAAAUGAACAAAUUCCUAUGCCCCACAAAUAACCCAGAGAUUCAUUUUAAAUAAAAGCACACAUUCUAUUCAUGUAAAAACACCAGGCAGGCCCCACAAAUAACCCAGAGAUGCAUUUUAAAUAAAAUGACACAUUCUACUCAUGUAAAAACACGCUGAUUCCCGGACCGUCCGCGGGCUGGAUUUAGAAGGCGAUUGGGCUGGAUCCGGUCCCCGGGCCUUAGUUUGCCUACCCAUGUCCUAGAGUUUCAGGAGAGUUUUCAAAGGUAGCUCUAUAUCUAGUGCAUUUCAAUAUCUAUCUGGAGGUUACUGUGAAUAACUCUAAGCAAAAGUAAAGCUAUGUAAGUGGUACCAAAGUUAUGGCCACACUGUUUCUGUCUGCAAGGGACCAUAACUGGUAUAUAAGCUUCAACUGAUGAAAUACACUGUGUGCCGUAGACACCAUGUGAUUUUUUUCCUCAGUUGUAGGAUUUUUUUGUGAGACAGUUUAAAACAUGCCCUCAGCACCUUUCAGCAGGGAUCUGUUUCUGGAGCUACCUUCCAACUACCAGGCAGUGAUCUAAGCAAGUUAAAAAUCACUGGUAAAUUUUUAUUAAGUUACAGCUAUACACACGAAAAUAUGGCAACAGCUAGAAAGAUAUUGGCUCUUAUGCAUAAUUUCUUAGUUUGCCAGAAUGGGUGGUUUUCAGCUUUUCAGGACCCUGGGCAACAGCAGGAGAGGUGCAGCAGCUGGGACUGCAGUGUAGGAAAACCUAUGUCCUUUCUCCCUGCUUUCCAUUUGCUGCUCAUCUCCUUGCAAGACAUGAGUUGCCACAUCAUCCCUGGAAAAUGCACUUGCCCCUGGCCUUGAGUCAAGGCAUCUGAGUGGAGGGAGAUAAAAUUCCUGGGUUGGCAUGGCUGACCUCUGGGCUACGGAGAGGGGUGAGAGUGUUUCAGUUUAAUUUUUAUCUGUGGAUGAGUGGGUGGGAGUAUUGAUUUUGCUGUAGCAGCCAGGAGUGACUUAAGGGGGGAGUCUGUGCGUCCUAUGGAGCGAAUGCAGGGGGGAGGCAGGCAGGAAAAGCCCCCAAGAGCCGCACACAAGCUUUGAGUGGCUCUUGCGGGCUUUUCCCCAGGAGGGAGAAGGGACCACCACUCGCCAACCUGUU